GAUGAACGCUAGCGGCAGGCUUAAUACAUGCAAGUCGUGGGGCAGCGCAGGUAGCAAUACUGGGCGGCGACCGGCAAACGGGUGCGGAACACGUACACAACCUUCCGAGAAGUGGGGAAUAGCCCAGAGAAAUUUGGAUUAAUACCCCGUAACAUAACGAUGUGGCAUCACAUUGUUAUUAUAGCUUCGGCGCUUCUUGAUGGGUGUGCGGCUGAUUAGAUAGGUGGCGGGGUAACGGCCCACCAAGUCUACGAUCAGUAGCUGAUGUGAGGGCAUGAUCAGCCACACGGGCACUGAGACACGGGCCCGACUCCUACGGGAGGCAGCAGUAAGGAAUAUUGGUCAAUGGACGCAAGCCUGGACCAGCCAUGCCGCGUGAAGGAUUAAGGUCCUCUGGAUUGUAAACUUCUUUUAUCUGGGACGAAAAAAGGCGAUUCUUCGUCACUUGACGGUACCAGAUGAAUAAGCACCGGCUAACUCCGUGCCAGCAGCCGCGGUAAUAC
rnacentral:rRNA from 1 species